UGCGUGCGCGUUCAGCACAAAACAAAUGAGAUUAGGCUCCGCCUACCGCGAUCAUUUGAAGACAAAAAUAAGCCCUCAUUGACAUUCAUGAGCAUGAAGAUAUUCAUAAUCCGGCCUUUUCAUUGGCUAAGAGCGUCAUUAAUACGCAAUUUCCCCGAUUCUUUGUCAUCGAUACUAGUGGUAUCGUGUUACAGAAUUAAUUAUUCAUUUGACCUCAUUACGUCAUCUAAUUUAUUCAUUCUGAAACUUUUCUUUCCACACAAAAAUGGACCUACGAACACUCCGGUUGAGUUUGAAGAACAAGAAAAACAGUAGAGGUCUACCCGGUACCUAUGGUUAAACAUGAUGAUCAUAAGUGCAUGCAUCAUUUUGCAGAUUCUCAUCCAGGAUGAUGCAGCUCUACAAUUUCCAUGGAGGUGAUUGAUGAUGAUAAACAAUUGGUGAAGUAGGCCUAAUAGAACAGUGAUAGGACCACAAAGAGAAAUACAACCUACAGCAGUUAUAUGAGACUGGUGUAACAGAUGUUUUCAUUCAAGAAAUCCAACAAAUUGACGAGUGACUUAUUAGCUUAGGAAGCACUUGAUAAAGAUGGAAAAGUUUUUUUUUUCAAGUCCCUUUUUUUUUUUUUUAAAUACAACCCCAAAUUCAAAGUAUUGAAAUUUCCUGUUGAUUUUAAUUAAAACUGCUUGCAAAAGGAGAAGCUAUAAACAUACAAAUAGGAGCGGCGAAGUGAAGUUGAAAGUGGGGGGGGGGGCCACAGGGAAAAUGCUGUAUUAUGUGAAAAUUUUAAGAAGUUGCGAGAGAGCAAAAUUUUGACAUUUUAAAAAAGAAAAUCCACUUUUGUGAUAGAUUUCGACAGAAUAUUCAGAAUGAUAUAUUUCACCCUUUUUUUUUUGGGGGGGAGAGUCCUUCAAGCCCCCCCCCCCCUCCAUCUGUAGUGUACGGAACUGCUUAUCUACCCCCAAUCACAUGAAUUAUUAAACUUAAUGCACAAAGAAUUUCCUUAUUGUUUUCUUGUUUCAAAGGGCACUCGUCAUGGUGACCAUAAAACGGGUCCUUCUCAGGUGAAAGGGACACAGAACAAGUUCUUUAGGAGCACUUUUCUUGGGUAAAAGGGGGCAGUUAUUCGAGAAAGGGCACUUACAAGAAGGUGAGGGGCACUUUUUAACACAUAAAACGGGCCCUCAGAUGAAAGGGCACAGAACACGUUCGGGGGGGGGACAUUUUUUGGUAAAAAUUUGCAUACAAGGAAGAGCACUUGGUAACACCAAAACAGGUUCUCGUCAGGUGAAAGGGACACAGUACACGUUCGUGAGGGGGCAUUUUUCUUACAUAAAAUUAAAGGCACUUUUCAGUGCUUCAAAAAGUAGGGGGAACUGUGCCCCCCAGGAUCGCUGCCCCUGCAUACAAAAAACAUUUUCAUUCGAUUCAAAGUAUUAACAUACGCUUAAGAAAAAAAGUAAGGCUAAAUCCUCUGAUAAUGUGAUAUUUUUUUCUGGCUAUUAAUAAAAUUCACGCUAUUAAUAAAAUUCACAACUAACC